CUCACUGUGACCUCCUGCGUCGGAUCUUGCGAGAUGACGCGGCGCGGGAAGGCACAGUGAGCGAGGCAUUGGUGACCGCCUGUACCAGGAUGCCACAAGCUGCUAAGCCCCGACGAC